rnacentral:pre_miRNA from 1 species
CAAGUACUCCCUCCGUCCGAAAAUACUUGUCACCAAAAUGGAUAAAAAAGAUGUAUCUAGAACUAAUAUACAUCUAGAUACAUCCCCUUUUAUUCAUUUUGAUGACAAGUAUUUCCGGACGGAGGACGGAGGGA